rnacentral:ncRNA from 1 species
UUUUUUUCUCAGCACACACUUUGAUUACCAUGUCAGUACUAAUCAACUAGCACUAAUACAUUAGUGGUUUUAUGUACUUCGUGCAUUACUGCUAGUCCCCAUUAAUAAUAUAUA